GACGAACGCUGGCGGCGUGCUUAACACAUGCAAGUCGAACGGAAAGGCCCUGCUUUUGUGGGGUGCUCUAGUGGCGAACGGGUGAGUAACACGUGAGUAACCUGCCCUUGACUUUGGGAUAACUUCAGGAAACUUGGGCUAAUACCGGAUAGGAGCUCCUGCUGCAUGGUGGGGGUUGGAAAGUUUCGGCGGUUGGGGAUGGACUCGCGUCUUAUCAGCUUGUUGGUGGGGUAGUGGCUUACCAAGGCUGUGACGGGUAGCCGGCCUGAGAGGGUGACCGGACAAAUUGGGCCUGGGAUACGGCCCAGACUACUACGGGAGGCAGCAGUGGGGAAUAUUGCACAAUGGGCGGAAGCAUGAUGCAGCCACGCCGCGUGCCGGAUGACAGCCUUCGGGUUGGAAACCGCUUUCGCCUGUGACGAAGCGUGAGUGACGGUAAUGGGUAAAGAAGCACCGGCUAACUACGUG
rnacentral:rRNA from 1 species